AUGCAAUAUAUAACAGAAUGUCAACAAAACAAUCAUGGACCUCGAUGUCGAGUGGUGAAUGAAAUGGAUGCAUUGUUGAUUUUUAUUGAGAAUGUGUUCCCAAACCCUAUAACUUCAAAGCUAGCCAUAGAGGGUUUGAACAGCCUAGGUGUGGAGACCAUAGAUGACCUACAGUUUUUGAAAGAUGAUGAUCUAGGUGGCUUUCUGAGACCGAUUGAAGCAAGAAAACUAAUAGCCCAAAUCCCAAAUAUUGCCUCCACUCUGCAAAACACUGCCAAUGAUUUGUCUGCUGAAUAUAAUUCUGAUGCAUCAGGUUCACCUGCUCCUGGAUGCUCAGUUUCACCAUCCAGCUCUUCAAGUGGAAGACGAGAGAACCCACUGACAGCCAGUGUGUACAUGGUGGCAGUAGACCAGAUGAUUGUAAAUGACCAUCUCUUGAGUUUUACAGAAGCCCUGUAUCUGAUGUUCUCUCUUUACUAUAUAUUGAACAUCAGUUACCCUGUAGAACUGGGAGCCACACUAGAAUUCUUGCAAAGGUGCAUCUUUAGGAUAAAUCCUCAUAAAGGUACCAAGGUGGAAAAGAGAGAGAAAAAGAGAGCGUACUCUGUCAACCCCAGAGUAUUGAGUCUGACAUCAAAAAUUGCUGCAUUUGAUUGGGGAGAGUAACAGAUGUGGUCUUUCAGAAGAUUGACAUUUCGCUGAAGAACAGGACAGACCGACUUUUUGUACUUCAGUGCAGCGCUUUGUUGCUUAAAUCAUUUUUAUUACCUUGUGACGUGAUUAGGAUUUAGUUUAAAUUUAUUUCUUUAUUUGAUUGGGACAGUGCAUGUUAAUGAACAAACAUGGAAUACAUGCAUGUAAACAUGCUGGAUUGUAGCCAAAGGCUAAUUUCCAUCCGUAGUCCCACGGGCUAAAAUCACACUGGUCACAAAACAUUACAUAAUAAAAUUUACAUCUACAGUUAGUACAUCUUUUAUCAAUAAAUUAGCUAAAGCCCUGUAUACAAUAUUCACAUAAUACUUGAAAAUUCAUUCAACUUCAAAAUUAUCAGAAUCCAGGCCCAGUGUUUUUGUUUCUUUUAAACUGAACACAUUUGUGUUCUGAAACAUGCUUUAUCCAUGUUCUCCAUGUGACAUGUUCAGGAUUAUCAGAAUUAAUGUCGAUUUUUUUUUUUUUUUUUUUUAAUUGAACAAAUUUGUUUUCUAAAACAUGACUUUUGCUGGGAAGUGUUUUUCCAUUGUUUGAUCUUGAAGGUUUGCUAUAUAAUAAAAAGCUGAAGUUGUUUACAGCAAUACUCUGGCUACCAUAAUUUACCGAUAACAUUUUACAAAAAUUUGUGUUUCAAGAGUAUUUUUAAUUUGUUUUUAGCGUUACUUCUGUCACACAGUAUACAAAGAUUUCCCUCUACAUUUGGUUUAAAUAAAUAAAUUCACUAGAAAAAGAUUAUGGCAUGAAAACAUGUAAGCCCAGAUUUGCUAACUAUUUGUGGCAGUGCACACUUUCUGAAUGUGUCAGGGUUUUCAGAAGACAUGAUAGAAAGGCAUGUACAGUGAUUAUUGCAUCUUUAUUGGAUAUGCAUUUGUAGGAAAUUUCCUUUAUGAAAGCGUCCCUUAACCCUUUUUGUGCCUGACCUGCCAGUAAUGGUUGCUAAUUGCACUUAUUUUUUAUUUGGUCAUUAUGGAAGGGAGCUGCUGCAAUUCUGUUCUUGCACAUUGAUAGUUUACUCGUAGAAAACAUUCAAAUUCAUCCUGAAGUUAGUUGUAUUUUCUCUGCCAAAAACAAUAUUAGCACAUUUUAAGUUAAGAUGCUUGCUAUUUACCUUUAAUGUGAUAAAACUGAAAAUCUGUCUUGUACUCUCAGGUUGUAUAACUUUCUUUGUGGUUAGCAGAACAAAUUAAUUUAUUUUGACUAAUGUACACCGAGGAAGUUUAAGAACCACUGGCUUAUAGAUUUGGCUUUUUUGUGAUAAAAAAAGCAAUUUAUUUGCAAUGAAAAUUUAGAAAAUCUUUGAAAAGUGGAAAUAAAGUGCUUUAUUAAGAGAAGAGUGUUUAUUAAAAAUAAAGUAUUUAUUGGGUAGGCUUAGGGGUCGGUGUAGAAGGGCUUUUAUUCUCACAACAAUGUAGCAUCCAUUUAACAAUUUUAAUAAAUAUAAUCAUUUGCACUCUGAUAAUUAUUGGAUCCUGUUAAUCUACAAAAAUAGUAAGGUGCAACUAUCUGCCGAUAUAGAUAGCAUCUAAUUAGUAUUUACACUUACUGCAAAUUUUAUAAUUAUAUUUAUUAAAUGAAAAUUAUUUACACCUAAUGUAAAUAGCAUUACGUAAAAAUUAAUUGGGUUGUAGCUCGUUGUCUAGGUGACUGUGAUUUUAAAUAGGUGUCGUUUGUGUUUUAACGUUUAGCUCAAGAAUAGAGAAGUUCGAAUAGCCUAUGUGAAUAUUACCAACUUCACUAAACUCCUUCUUGAGUUAAGAACUGACCACAUUUCUUUAUAUUUGAGUCCUAGUUCAAACACUAUGAAACGCUCCAUUAAAGUAUACAGAGCUCUGAAACACUGCCAGCGGGACAUUAAACAGGAAGUGUCUGUCCGAGCUCAAAACAGGUUUUACGUGGGAACGCAAAGUUUCUCGGGGGAAGGCAAAAGAUUUGCAAAAAAAUUUCCACCACCACGUCCCUUUGAGGGCUCCGUAGUAAAUAGCAUCUACUGCUGGUUAUUUCGGAUUUUGAUAUGGAAAUCAUGACAAUUAGCUUACCUUAACAAUAAAUGGUUUUCCAGAAGUGGUGUAACAAGUGGGUUGGACAGGAGUGUGUGUUUGGAUGAGGAUACCAAUAAGUGAAACGCAUACUCGAAAUGUGACCUCUUUAACCCAUCCCAGUGAGUGGUGAGCACACACACCCCCGGAGCAGUGCAGGGAGCAAUUAGGAUAAGUCGCAACAUGCUGGCCGUGAGACUCGAACCGGUAACUCUUGGGUUAUAAGCCCGACUCUCUAACCACUAAGCUACAACUGACCCCACAGUAAUAAAAAUGCUCUAACAGCCACAAGAGAAAACUGAUGCCUUUCACAAUUAACCACAGCGGCAAAAAAAAACAAAAAAACAACAGGUUUUAUAAACAACACAGUCCAGCGCCAGAUGGCCUCUUUAACAAACGAACGAUAUGUAUGAUAUGCAUAACAACAAUAGUAGACAAUAGUAGGCUAAAGGCUGACUAUAAAUCAAGGAAACAACAUCACCAAUGGAUCACCAAUAAAGUUUAGAAAAGAUGCGCAAUUUAACCUAAUGUCUUCAGUGGCACAGGCACUAGUGUGGAAGCCUUGUUUAUUUGAUGCUUGUUUCAAAGUCCUUGGUUCGAAUCUGUAUU
rnacentral:lncRNA from 1 species